AUCUUCAUCAGAUCAAUGGAUCUGUGAGAAGAUGGGGGCCAGCUGGUCAGCACAAGUUUUCAGACAUGCUGGUGUCACACCGUCUGGGCCUGGUGUCUUUCUUCUUUUG